UACAGAGGUCCCAAGCGUUGUUCGGAUUCAUUGGGCGUAAAGGGUGCGUAGGCGGCGUGGUAAGUUGGAUGUGAAAUCCCGAGGCUCAACCUCGGAACUGCAUCCAAUACUGCCAUGCUUGAGGACUGGAGAGGAGAUUGGAAUUCACGGUGUAGCAGUGAAAUGCGUAGAUAUCGUGAGGAACACCGGUGGCGAAGGCGGAUCUCUGGACAGUUCCUGACGCUGAGGCACGAAGGCUAGGGGAGCAAACGGG
rnacentral:rRNA from 1 species